AUCCAGCUGAUGAGUCCUAAAUAAGAUAAAAUGCGCAUCCCGGAU
rfam:Schistosoma mansoni strain Puerto Rico chromosome 3, complete genome